rfam:Pseudopelagicola gijangensis strain DSM 100564 genome assembly, contig: Ga0131178_102
AUGACGGACAGCAAGCUGCCUGACAUGCAAUCUGGUGGCGAAAAGGGGUAUACGGUGUCUCUUGCCGCUCAUGCAGGGGCCUCGAUGAUCCACGAAUCUG